GCAGGGAGGAUAGUGGAUAGCACGUUUGCCUUACACCUUCAGGGUUGGGGGUUCGAUUCCCUCUGCUGCC